GGAUGAUAUCGAUGCUGUUUUGAAAGGGAGAGCUGACUGGAGAAAGGAAGAGGAUAAAUGGCAUAAAACUGGCCAACGUCAGAGGAUGUCCUACAUCAAGUUACAUUCCUAGGUUAUUUGUACUGCCUGAAAAGAGUAAAAAUCUCAUUAAAAGAGAAAAGGAGCAAGGAAAAUAAAUGUUUUCAUAGGAAAAUGCCCAGGAACUGCAGAUGAGCUCUAGGCAGUUGUAGCUAUUAUUUUUCUGGAAUAUCCCAACAUAGGCUUAGUGCCAAGCAUGCUGGUGUUGAAGAGGAGAAGCUGUUCUACAGCUGUUCUCACCAUGAGGAAAAACAAGUAAGAGCCUUUCAGAAAUGCCAUCAUGAAGUGGUAUGGGCAACGGCUGGUAGCAGCAGGAGAGGGAGAAACAAAAAAGAAGCCCACAGAACAACAUGUAGAGCAGCCAAGUGCCAGCCUGCAUGCAGAGCUCUGAUAAAGGGGACCAGGAAAUCUUCAGCAGCUCCCAGCAACUGCAGGAGUAAUCACCAAAGGGACAAAGGGAGGAAUGAAAAUAAGCACAAAGUGCCUGCAAGUUGAAAUUCUCCAGAGAAAGGACAAAGUGGUAAGAGUACGGCAAGCUGCCUGCUACAGUGCUGGAAACUGAGCUCCACUUCUCCCUGGCAUACUGCUGCUCCGAAUGAGCACCACUGAGGUUAGAAAACAUUAUCAUUGCCCAGCUCUCGUUAUCAGACAGAAACUGGCUGUGCCUCUCCAUAUUCUAAAUGGGACUGUCUCCGUCGAAUACAGCCGUGUUCCUUGGCUGCUGAGAAAUAUGCCUGCCUUCUUGCAGAAAUAAAAAGUUGGUUUACAAACAGAACCUCUCAAGCUUUCUCUCCAUUAGAGUAUCAGCCUUGACUGUCAUGUUGCUGCAGGUAGCCAGCUCCCAUUAACCACCCUGUCUCAGCAGUCACCUGAGCACGGGCUGCCUGGUCCAACUAAGAAGAUAAAAUAGACCUUGAGGCCAACUUCAUCCAGCUGAUUGCCUGCUCACUUCUGUUAUUCAUAGCAGGGACAGGCCUCCUUUGCUCCUAAAUAUCCAGGGUAGAUAGCUUUGAAAAAUGCACAGCUUCUUGCAAAACAACAGCUAAGAUGCACCCAAGUAACCGCACUAGUAGAAGCAACACCAGCAGAG
ensembl:lncRNA